ACAUGGACUAAGCAGUCUAGAACAAGAGUCCGUAUAGUGCGAAAUCUUGCCAAAGAAGGGAUUGAAAUCGCAAUACGCUCGGACAUCUGUAUACAGAGGUCUGGGAGGUGAAGCCCGAACCAACUAGGAUUUGCGCUCCACGAAGUGAUCUUGAGACGGAUUUGGCAGUUUGGCAUUCACAAGAGUCCAUCCAAUCCAAGGCAUGUCUUCGGCAGAUUGAACCAAAGUUGUGGGCGAGGAAAACCUCAGAGGCACAUUUAAGCUCGUCCGCAAUGAACCAUCCACCCUCUGAUGCUGGUUUUCACGGGGUUUGACUAGUUGGAUCAGGACUCAUCAAAUACUCGAUGUAAAUCGCAGGAAAGUGUGGAUGGAUGAAACGGAGAUGGUUGUUGCGCAGUGGGUUAACGCGCACCCGAGCUAUUCUCGGGUUCAUGGGUUCGAUCCCAAGUCGACCCCUCCCCCUUUGCUGUAGCGGAUCAUCGCCACAAACGGCGUUCAUGGGCACCCAGAAUGGGCCAAUACUGCCAGGCGCAUCAUAUUUGUCAAUGUACCGAUCCAAUGAAAAACGAUUUCGCAAUAAAGAUUUAGACAAAAAUGGCAGGAAUGACUUUCAUAUAUGUAUAUAUCAGGACUGGAUGUUUCUAUCUUUUUAUUUUCCAUUUAACUUCCUAGAGCAUCACAUGAGCAUUAGUGGAGUUCGCUUUCAAAUGCAGGAACCUUAAUCUGAGUAACUCUCACUGAAGUCUUUGUCGGGAUUUCCAAGAACGUUGGCGAUGUCUCCAAUGUCUCAUCUGUAGUUCUAGGCGAGAAGUGCCGAGCACUUCAAAUGAGUCAGAGGAUACCACUACAGCUAGUUUGUUCUUCGAACCCAAUUCAUGCGGGGGCGAGUCAUCAUCAUCAUCAUCAUCAUAUUCGUCAACAACACUGAAGACGAAGACUCACUCACUUACUUGCUCACUCUUUCAAUCCGCAAAUUCGACAAAUUUCGAGAGGAAAUGCACCACAACAUUAUCGAGAGAAUACUCGUUCUGCCACAUAAUUUCAUAAAAAAAAUACAUAUUUGCUCGGAGACACGUUUUGCACGGUACUAUUAUCACAGCUGGCAAGGUUAGUUCAUUUCUCUUUGGAAGAGGUGGUGCCAAUCACUACUUUGAUUUGAUCACGGUGGAAGUCGACUAGAUUCCCUCGAUGUAGCGACUAGGAUGAAGGAACGGAGGCGGAUCUCUUUGAGCAUUCUCUGAAGGCACGGUUAAGAACACAUCACUGACAACAACAACAACGACAACAACGACAACAGCAACAGGAACAGCCACCAAUUGUGGGGCAUUUGUUGUUGGUCCAUGUUUACCGGUGCCUCUUGGCAUGCAAGGCCAGAUGAUCCGAGCGAGCGAAUCGCCGACCACACGUGGAACAUCGGAAAGGUUUGGCCCCGGUGUGCUUCCGAUAAUGGCGGGUCAGCUCAUCCGAGCGGGCAAAUCGCCACAGACACCCUUCCCACGAACAUUGGUAGGGCUUCUCACCUGGAAGAGACGACGAGACUCGAGGGUUUUCAUACUGAGUCAUUUAGCAGGAACUCGAAAGUGGACUCGACGAGUAAAUAUUGGCCCGAGCAAUUCGAGGCAUUGUGGUGAAACAACUUUUGCAAUCCAAUGGGGACUAACUGCAUUUAUUUCGAAAAGCCCCAUCAUUCAUG